GACGAACGCUGGCGGCGUGCUUAACACAUGCAAGUCGAACGGAAAGGCCCUGCUUUUGUGGGGUGCUCGAGUGGCGAACGGGUGAGUAACACGUGAGUAACCUGCCCUUGACUUUGGGAUAACUUCAGGAAACUGGGGCUAAUACCGGAUAGGAGCUCCUGCUGCAUGGUGGGGGUUGGAAAGUUUCGGCGGUUGGGGAUGGACUCGCGGCUUAUCAGCUUGUUGGUGGGGUAGUGGCUUACCAAGGCUUUGACGGGUAGCCGGCCUGAGAGGGUGACCGGUCACAUUGGGACUGAGAUACGGCCCAGACUCCUACGGGAGGCAGCAGUGGGGAAUAUUGCACAAUGGGCGGAAGCCUGAUGCAGCAACGCCGCGUGCGGGAUGACGGCCUUCGGGUUGUAAACCGCUUUCGCCUGUGACGAAGCGUGAGCGACGGUAAUGGGUAAAGAAGCACCGGCUAACUACGUG
rnacentral:rRNA from 1 species